UUUCUCUCACACACAUGUGUGCAUGCACAGACACACACACCUCAUGUUCAUUCUCUUUACCAUGAUGAUCCUUGGUUCUUUUACACAGCUUCUUUCAGUUUACCUUACAAUUUAGCUCAACACAAAUUUUAAAAAACUUAUAGUUACAAUUUAAUUUGGCUUGGUCCACACCUCUAACAAAUUUGAUACAAUCUCCAACUUACGGUUGCAAGUUAGUUGAUUAUAUUCACUUCCAAGUAUUUCCCCCAACAUUUCAUUAUGAAAAUAUAUCCAUCAAUUAAUGCUCUUAUCUAUAAAAUAAUUAUUUUUUUGCAUUUCAAAAUAAGUUACAGACAUCAAUGCACUUCAUCUUUAAACCCUUUAUCAUGCAUAUCAGGAAGUAGAGUUUAAUAUUUCUAUAUUUCUUGGGGGAGAAAUGGAGCUAAAAUUAUAUACUGUAUCAUAUACAAACCUGUUAGGUAUAUCAAUUCAUGUGUAUUGACAAAUGCGUGCACCAUGUAACAGAAACUCCUUUCAAGAUAUAGAAUAUUCCUAUCACUACAAAUAUUAAUCACCAAAACAAUGGGGAGAAUGUCUCUAGGGCAUGUCAGAGACCUUCACUGCAGCCUCUCCCAUUAUAGGCCAGGAGGCCUUGAAGGAAAAAAAUGGUUUAGUGGGCCAGGCCUCAGGCACCCCCCCUUGCUCUUUGCAGCCUUGAAACAUGGUACCCUGCGUCCCCAGCUGCUUCAGCUUCAGCUGUGGCUAAAAGGGGCCAACAUACAGCUCAGGCCAUUGUUUCAGAGAGUGCAAUCCCCAAGCUUUGGCAGCUUACACAUGGUGUUGGGCUUGCAGGAGCACAGAAGUCAAGAAUUGAGGUUUGGGAACCUCUGCCUAGAUUUCAGAGGAUGUAUGGAAAUGCCUGGAUGUCCAGACAGAAGUCUGCUGCAGGGGUAGAGCUCUCAGGGAGAACCUCUGCUAGGGCAGUGCAGAAGGGAAAUGUGGGGUUGGAGCUCCCCCACAGAGUCUUCACUGGGGCACUGUAUAGUGGAGCUCUGAGAAGAGGGCCAUAGUCCUCCAGACCCCAGAAUGGUAGAUCCACCAAUAGCUUGCACCAUGCACCUGGAAAAGCCACUGGCACUCAACACCAGCCCAUGAAAAGAGCUGUGAGGGUGGCUGCAUCCUGCAAAGCCACAGGGGAAGAGCUGCCCAAGGCUGUGGGAGCCCACCCCUUGCAUCAUUGUGACCUGGAUAGAUGUGAGACAUGGAGCCUAAGGAGAUCAUUUUGGAACUUUAAGCUUUAACGACUGCCCUAUUGGAUUUUGGACUUGCAUGGGCCUAUAGCCCCUUUGUUUUGGCCAACUUCUCCCAUUUGGAAUGGGUAUUUUUACUCAAUUCCUGUACCCCCAUUGUAUCUUGGAAAUAACUAACUUGCUUUAGAUUUUACAGGCUUAUAGGUGGAAGGGACUUGCUUUGUCUCAGAUGAGACUUUGGACUUGGACUUCUGGGUUAAUGUUUGAAUGAGUUAAUACUUUGGGGGACUAUUGGAAGGGCAUGAUUGUGUUUUGAAAUGUGAGAACAUGAGAUUUGGGAGGAACUAGGGUCAGAAUGAUAUGGUUUGGUUUUGUGUUCCCACCCAAAUCUCUCCUUGAAUUGUAAUAAUCCCCAUGUGUCAGGGGUGGGACCAGGUGGAGGACUGAAUCAUGGGGGUGGUUUCCCUCAUGCUAUUCUCAUGAUAGUGAUUUAUAACAGAUCCAAUGGUUUUAUAAGCAUCUGGCAUUUCCCCUGCUGGCACUCAUUCUCUCUCCUGCCACCCUGUGAAGAGGGGCCUUCCACCAUGAUUGUAAGUCUCCUGAGGCCUCCGAAGCCAUGCGGAACUGUGAGUCAGUUAAAACUCUUUCCUUUAUAAAUUACCUAGUCUUGGGUAUUUCUUUAUGGAAGCAUGAGAAUGAACUAAUGCACAGGGUAAAAAUUUAAAAACAAACAUACAAAUGCAAGUAAACAAGCCAAUAUUUCAACUGUUCCCAUUGCAUUAUCCUUAUUCUUUAUCUAUGGUACCAGAAAAUAAUACAUCUGAAACAAUUUUUUUUUCCUGCCAUGAUGUACACUCAAGUGGGUCCACUGGGGUUUCUUUCAGUUUCCCAAAUACUAGAUAUGACUCUUCCCUAUACCUUAUCUUCAUAUGAAGAAAGCUAUGAGAAUAUAUUAAUAACUGAAUAUAGUAACACUACUAUAGGAAUAAGCAUGUGUAUAUUCCAACUGAUCUUUUAAAACUUUUAUUUUGAAAUAUUUAUAGAUUCAAAGGAAGAUGCAAAGAGUAUAGGGAAGUGCUAUAUGCCCUUUAUCUAGUUCCUCUAGUGGUAUCAACUUACAUAACUGCAGUAUCAUAUAUAAACCAAGAAAUUGGCAUCUGUAUAAUCCACAGACAUUACUCAGACUUCUCUAGUUUUACAUACACUAAUUUGUAUGUGUGUGUGUGUGUGCGUGCACGUUUAUGUGUGUAGGUCUAUGCAAUUUUACCACAUGUGUAUAUUUGGGUAACCACUACAAUGAUCAAGAUAUGGAACUGUUCCGUCACCACUAAGAUCCCUUGUGCUAUUCCUUUAUAAACAUCUCCCUGUCAUCCUUUUUCACCCAUAAAAGCUAGUAAACACUAAUCUGUUCUUCAUCCUUAUAAUUUUAUUAUUUCAGAAUUGUUAUAUAAAUGUCAUCAUACAGUAUAUAACACAUAGAGAUUGGCUUUUGUCACUCAGCACAAUUCCCUUGAGAUGCAUCCAAACUGUUGUGUAUAUCAGUAAUGCAAUAUGUUUAAUUUCUGUGUAGUAUUCCAUGGUAGAGAUGUGCCAUAGUUUAACUAUUCACCUGUUGAACAACAUUUGUGUUCUUUCUACUUUUGGGCUAUUACAAAUAAAGUUGCUAUGAACAUUCAUGU
rnacentral:lncRNA from 10 species